UGUCGUGUCCAUUAUGGCCAUCCCAGGGGCUCCUAUAAAGGGCCGUUUCCCCCAAACCUGCCUCCACCCCCGGCCAAACUCCUGCAGGCAAUCCUUUCCUCCUGCGGAGGGGGGCAGGGAGGAGAGGGCUUCACCCUCCGUGCCUCUUCUCACACUGUAAAAAUUACUGCCAACGAUAUUAUAUGGUCACGCCAUAAACUCAAAUCACCUCCUAGAACUUCCUUCAUUACCACCUCACUAUAUAAUCCAGCAGUUAUUCCAAACCUGGUGUCCUCUCCUCCUUCCCCUUGCAGGAAGCUUUGCGGGCCCCGAGGGGGCUCUAAAGAACAUCCUCUGGUCCGUGCCUCUCUCACAAAGCCCAGGAAGCCUGAGGCCACCCGGGGCCUGACGGCUGCCCCCACCUCUGUCUUCAGGAAACAGGGAAUCAGAACAAACGCUCAGUGCGUGUCUCCCUUCAUACCUCCAAGUCAGAGCCUGAAGACCAUGCCACCCACCUGUGCCCACCUCAGGGGAAGGGCGCCAGGACUCUCCUCUGCAUCUGCAGCUAACGAGCAAAGUUGUCCUGAAAAAAUGGGCCGUCAGAUGAAUGCUAGAACUACGUGUGUGUCCAUGUGUGCUCACGUCUGUAUGACCACACAUGUGUGGUCAUUUGCGUGCACGUGUGGAUGUGCUCACCUGCGUACAUACGUGAGUGUGCAUUCGUGCAUUCACUGCUCCCACCUGAGACCAACCCCACCCCGGGAUGGAUGCCUUCUCUUUCUCCCAUCGUCCUGGACCCCAACAGAGGGACCAGCAGCUGGCCCUUAUUUAGGGGAAAGUAGAGUUUAGGGUGUCAUGCUGGUUUAGCUGCUGGGUGGAGGUUUCACCCCCUGCCCUGGAUCAUUCUGGAAUUGCCCUAGGACCACCUGGCAGUCCUCUCGGCUGUGCCCAGGUUUCCCCGCACAGGCCCCAACCUCCCAGUGCAGGGAUGCUGUGGGCUGUGGUUUCCUUUGAAUGCUGCAGGGCCUUGAAUCGUUUCCAUGGGUUCUUUAACUAGACGGGGAUGUUCAGAUUUUGAUGCAUCUCUCGGGGGCAGAAUUUCAGGGUGGGACUUGCCCCAUAUGCGUCUCACUGCCUCCGACGCUGGCCAGUUCCUGUUCUCAGACCCAGGAACCCAGCCCAUGGGGGACCUGCGGGCUUUUGGUCAUGAAGUCACGUGGUAGGCGUGCGCCUGGGGGGUCUUCCCGUGGCGUGGAGACCCCGCACCCCCGUCCACUGUGGCCCCUGACCGCUGGGACAGUCCCUGGGCCCUUUGUCCAGUUCUGACUCCAGCUACCUCCUGGGCUUCUGUGUUAGUUCAAUCCGUGUUUUGGUUUUUUUUUUUCUCAUGAGUGUGUGUCUUGUCUCAUUAAAAAACUUGUAUACUUCUAUACAUUAUUUUAAAAGAUUCUGAAAUUUACAUCUGUAGCCUCCUGCCCCCCAAACCUCUACUUCCAACUAUUUUCGAGCACAUCCACCAAUGGCCUCCUGCCCGGUCCUAGGUGACUCAGAAUGUGCAAAAAGCCACAGGUCCCCAUUUCAGUGAUGCUGCCCUCUCGGGGCCUCAGGCCUCAGAGCCUUGCUGUCACGCGGCCUCCUCAGUGUCUCCUCUCAAUCCCACAGUCUUCCUCAUGGCUGGACCCUGCUGCCCACUGCAGCCCAGCUGGCCUCUCGGUCUCCUGUCACUCCCGCCCCCUCCUGAGCUGUUCAUCCACCUCUCCCAGCACUGUCAAGUCCCUGCUGCCCCACAGGGGGGCUUGGCCCUAUCCAGGCAGAGGCCUCAUUCCCGGGUGCGCUGAGCUGGCCCCGC
rnacentral:lncRNA from 12 species